CCUACGGGUGGCAGCAGUGAGGAAUAGUGGUCAAUGGGCGCGAGCCUGAACCAGCCAAGUAGCGUGAAGGAUGACUGCCCUACGGGGUGUAAACUUCUUUUAUAAAGGAAUAAAGUGAGGCACGUGGGCCUUUUUGGAUGUACUUUAUGAAUAAGGAUCGGCUAACUCCGUGGCAGCAGCCGCGGUAAGACGGAGGAUCCGAGCGUUAUCCGGAUUGAUGGGGUGUAAAGGGAGCGUAGAUGUGUUGUUAAGUCAGUUGUGAAAGUUUGCGGCUCAACCGUAAAAUUGCAAUUGAUACUGGCAGUCUUGAGUACAGUUGAGUUAGGCGCAAUUCGUGGUGUAGCGG
rnacentral:rRNA from 1 species